rnacentral:misc_RNA from 1 species
UCUAUACAUAUAAUAAAUUGGUAGAAAAGUCAAAACUGUACAUUAAAUAUUUUUUUAAAAGAAUACUUGUGGUGUGAUCUACAAUCGAUACCGAAGCCAAAAAUUUAGUUUUUAGAAUUUUUGUCUGUUUGUUUGUAUGUAUGUCCGGGAUAAACUCAAAAAGUACUGCAUGGAUUUACUUCAAAUUUGACACGAAUAUUAUCACGCUAUCACCUACGGGGAACGAGCAGUG